rnacentral:rRNA from 1 species
GCACAAGCAGCGGAGCGUGUGGUUUAAUUCGUUGCUACACGAAGAACCUUACCUGGGUUUGACAUAAUGGUGGUAGGGAUCCGAAAGGUGACCGACCCUUCGGGGAGCCUAUACAGGUGUUGCAUGGCUGUCGUCAGCUCGUGUCGUGAGAUGUUCGGUUAAGUCCGCUAACGAGCGCAACCCUCGUCGUAUGUUAUAUGUGUCAUACGAGACUGCCGGUAAAAGCCGGAGGAAGGUGAGGAUGAUGUCAAGUCAGCAUGACCUUUAUAUCCAGGGCUACACACACGCUACAAUGGUCUGUACAAUGGGUAGCCAAGCCGCGAGGCGGAGCCAAUCCUGAAAGCAGGCCUCAGUCCAGAUUGCAGUCUGCAACCCGACUGCAUGAAGCCGGAGUUGCUAGUAACCGCAGGUCAGCAAUACUGCGGUGAGUACGUUCCCGGGUCUU